UGGGCUGAGCUCUACCCCACUCUUCUCUGUGGGUGUCACACUGCUCAGAAAGAAGUAGGCAGAACAGCUGGAGUGAGGCAGGGCUGUUGGCAACAGAACGUGAUGUCAGAACCCACUUGGCGAAGAGCACCCAUUGGUAGUUACAUUCAGAGUGCCAGGGCUUUUCAAGCUGCCAAGAGAGAAUGCUUGUGGGUGGGUGGUAGAACAAAAAGGCAAAGGGAACAACGCAAGCCCAUUUCCAAGGAGGGGUGAGAAAUAAGCAACAAAGAAGAUGCCCUCAGAUAUGUGAUGUAUCAGUGGCUGUUCUGGGGGUGACGCCAUCUGUAUUAAGUGAGCUACCUACAGAUAAGGAAUAAAGUCGUGGCUGGAAUGAGCAGUGAGCUGUGAAGGAACCUCUUCUGCAAAUGUGUCAGAGGCCCUUCCUGGAGCCAAUGACUCCCCUGAAAGAAAGCACUCUGGGUUAUCCACCUACUCUGUCAUCUUGGAAGCUGGCAGCAACUCAUUCCGCACCAGAAAAUAUGAAGAAAUUUGGAGAAGGAGGAAAAGUCUUACCAGUAAAUAUAACCAAGGCAUCAGCAAAACGAUGAAACUGAUAUAUAGCUGUUUUCCUCUUACAAAAGACUUUUUCAUCUGACAAGAUACA